GAGGGUUUAGCUUAAUAAAAGUGUCUGUUUUGCAAUCAGGAGAUGUGGAAUUAGUUCUGCAGCCCUUA
rnacentral:tRNA from 1 species